AGGCUAAUCGAUUUAUUGAUUGUGUUUUAAAUGAAAAUUUUCAUAUUGAUAACAGAUUUAUUAGAAUGGAACAUCUGGAAGUUACAGAAUACUUUCUUAACAAUGAAAUUGUCUUUAGUGCUAAAGGCUACUGCAAUGUGGAUUUAAAUAUUAUUUUUCAUGUUGCAGCUAUGGAUUUAGCAUAUUUGUUGUAUGAGAAAAAAUAAAAUUCGCAACAACAAUUGGAAGAGCUAACUAAAACGUUUGUCUGACUUAAAACAAUUUUUUCUACUUAUAAAAAUUUUUAAUUUAUAUUAGUUUUUCUGACUAAAACUGAAUUUUACUACUGAGAGAAAAUUAAAACCGUAUUGUAAUAUUGUCUGACUAAAAUCGAUAUUUACUACUUAUAUUAAAUAACAAAAAGUACAGUUGUUUGUCUGAUUGAAACUGAUUGUUACUACUGAUAAAAAAUUUCAGGAAUUAUAUAAACUUCUGUCUGCCUAAAGUGGACUUUUACUACUUGUACAAAAUUUCAAAAAUGGAAUUAGCUGGUCUGACUAAAAGUUACUUUUACUACUAAUUUGAAAAGAACAUUAAAAGCAUUGUCUGACUAAAAAGAGUCUGUACUACUUAUUCAAAAAAAUGAUAACUAUUUGUCUGACUAAAAGUGACUUGUACUACUAGUGCAAAAAAAAUAAAAACUUCGUCUUACCCUAACUGUCUUCUACUACUUCUAAACAAUAAAAACCAGAAAAAAUGUUGUCUGAGUAAAACUGACAUUUACCACUUGUAAAAAUUUCAAAAAUUGAAAAAUUUUGUCUUGUAACUUGCUUUUACUACUAAUGUCACAUUACGACAAAUGUAAAUAUUUCGGCUGACUAUAAUCGACAUGUACUACUUAUAUAAAUUUACAAUAUUUUGUUGUUAUUCAUAAAGUUGAGCAAAAAUAACAUUAAUUUUAAGAAUUUCUCUUCUGGCAUAAUUUAUUA